rnacentral:misc_RNA from 1 species
AGUGAAGAAAAUGAGCAGAGGUGGAGCAGUUGGUGCCGGUGGAGCCAAGGGGAAGAAGAAGGGAGCAACUUUCACUAUUGAUUGCUCGAAGCCAGUCGAGGAUAAGAUCAUGGAUAUUGCCUCUCUCGAAAAGUUCCUCCAGGAGCGCAUCAAAGUCGGCGGCAAAGCCGGGGCUCUCGGUGAUUCCGUCACCGUCACUCGUGAGAAGUCUAAGAUUAACGUCACCUCUGACUCCAACUUCUCCAAACGGUAUCUGAAAUACUUGACAAAGAAGUACUUGAAGAAGCACAAUGUGCGAGA